GCAAUUUUAAAAAUAGGAAGAAGGCAAAAAUGUUCUUUAUCCUUUGUCUCAAAACCAUGACUUCAUUGUUUACUUGUCAUCAGGGACAAGAUCUGAAAUUUUGGUAACAGGUAUGAUAUGAUGAUCUUUCACUAAAAUGUUAAAAAAUAUCAAAACACCAGAGUAAUCUGGUACACAAAGAACACUUUCAAGAGAAUGAGUUUGGUACACGGGUAUGAAUCAAGACAGAAGUUCUGGAGAAAGCUUUAGGACACCAUUCUUUACAAAAACUAGCAUCAGACAAAUGUAUAGGACAGUAGUUUAUCUGAAAGUCAUCUAUGGAUGUGGCUUGUGUCCAAUGGACUAAGGCCCCAAUGAAAUAUAUCACAAGUUCUUGAGAAUAUUAGUGUAAGAGGACAGAUAGAUGAGAAUGAUGGAAACACCUGGUUAAGAGAAUAAUUGUAUACAAUUGGCCCACAGUGAUGACCCUCUUCAUAUACAUGCUUUCUUUGCCAAAAGCAAUAUGCCUGUAGCCCCUCAUAGUCUGAGUGGACAGUAUAUGUCACAUUCCUUAGCAAAGUGAGGCAGGGGGCGAAGGUCAGGCCAUCAGUGUAGGUAAUGAAUAACCAGGAUGAGGGCUGUUUGUCAAACAGAGAACAAUGGGUUGUAACCUCUGUAAUCAUGCUCCAGACACUCUGGUUGUUAACAACUAACCCACAAUUCCCUGCUUCCAGGAACAUAUAUGAAGAGGAAAGAGAAGACAAUGAAUAAAAGGGGGUUCUGAGGUGUAUAGGAGAACAAGAUGUACACCCAGCUGAGGAGCCCCUUCUCUUAGGAAAAGUCUAUCUCUAUCACUUUCUUAACCAAAACUGGCUUUCUACACUUGCCUCUGCAUUUCUUGAAUGUUUAAUCUUCAACACCAGGGAACAAGGACCUGUUUCUGAUCUCCAAGACACAUAUCAUUAGUACAACAGAGAGCCUGCCAGCUUGAACUGAGACACAAUGAGUACAAAAUGAAAAGCGUCUGUUAUAGCCUAUCAUCCCACCUCCAAAUUCUACUGAUAGGAAGCAAAUGACAAAACUGUCAACUCUGAAUAUUUACUAUUUUUCAUGAAAAAGAAAGGGUGACUCACAGGGCACAACCAGGAGCCCAGGGAGCAGAAGCAGAAACCAUUAUUGCCCUCAGAUCUGGAAACCUACUUGAGGAACUCCAACUGCAGUUUCCCAUCUGGAUUUCAGAAUCAUCAAGUCUGGUUCUGUUGUAUCUCUCUGUCUACCCCAUUGUUCAACUUGUUUUUCACCUACUUGUCUCCUUAAGGCCAACAGUCUGUCUUCAUGUUGCUCCAGGAAAAAAGUGCACUGUUGAGAGCUGUUUUCUUCUCCAAGUGUGGGACGCUGAGGAGUCACAGAUGCAUUCAGUUCUGGCUUCUUUCCUGGGAGAGGGGACUGAACUUCAUAUCAGGUCAAGGCACCUCCCAGUUUCCUUCCUGUUGUGGGAGGUUGUCUCUAAUGCAUGUGAUAUCCUUAGUCUUACGCAAAGAGAAUGAAAUAUAUCGAUGUUCAAGCAAUGUGUGAUGAUUGAAAAAGAAACUUUCAUAUCUGAGCUAGUUUCUGCUUGUGUUUGUGGGGAUGAUAAUGGCUAUUCCAAUGAAUUUGUUAGAUAGUAGCUAACAAUGAGCAGUGAAAUGCAGGCAAGGUCACAAGCAUUCUUUAAAUUCCUUUAGGGUCUUCUUAAACUACUUCCAGAAUAAACAAGAAAGCAAAAGGUGGUAGUUAAUUUGUAUAAAAUAAACAGAAGCAAAAGGAGCUAAUUGGGAAAUAUGUCAAGUGAAAAGGAUUAAUGGGACUAACUCUUGACAGGGUCUAUUGAUGCUGACAUAAAGCUAGGAAUUAUGGCUCUAAGUGACUCCAAUUGUCUGGGAAGACAGUUUCCUUUAGUAAUGCAGGUGCACUAAGGUAACUUCUGAUCAGCUAUUUUUCCUGGCACCCGCAUUAACAUGGGAUUGACUUGUAGAUGAAGCCCCCCUAAAUAGGAUGGCCACCAUGACAGUUUCAGAGAGGACCAACUAAGGUCAAAUACUGUAUUGCCCAGGAGUUGAACACCUGAUUGGCAAAGAGAACAGAAGGUGGUCCCUAGAUCUCCUGGUAAACAUCAAACAGUGAUAAAAUUGGGGACAACAUUUUCUCUUUGUCAUUCUCUGCUUGGAGACGGCUCAUUCUCUCCCUUAAGAGAAUUUUU
rnacentral:lncRNA from 1 species